rnacentral:lncRNA from 1 species
GAGCAAGGGCCGGGAGAAGGAGCGGUGACGGACCGCGCGCCCAGGGGUACUGGGAGGCUGCGCUGGGCCCCGGGCAGGGGUAAAGUUUCCUUGUCCGCCCGGGGUUCCAGACGUGCCUGAGUCAGGGAUGGGGACCUCGGGGUCACUGCGUGCGACUGGGGGGUCCCGGAGCGGGUCUGACCUCCCUCCCCACAUCUCCAGCCUGGGCGCCCGCUGCCUGCCUGGAGGGGUGGGGGCGCGUCUAGGGGAUCCGGCUCAAGGAGAGGCGCCCCUAGCACAUCUGGGUUACUCCAUCGCGCCAGCCGGUGUCUGCAGCCUGAAAAUCUCUGGUCUUGUUCUCCCGCUAGCCGUUCAGGACUCUCUCCGCCUGCAGCCCCCGCCUCCCCCGGUACCUCCGCCAGGAUCCAAGAGGCGUCCAGAGGGGAGCCCAGGCCCUGCGCCCGCCUUCUGGAGGAGAGGGCACUGGCUCUGCGGAAACAUCAGACCCGGCCAUCCCUGCAGCCGCGCCCCUGGCCCAGCCUCACGCUCAGCCGCUGGGACACAGCCCCCGAAAACGGAGACUUCCGUCGUCGGUAAUGGAGGGCAGAGCAGAAGGGGCUGGAGAGGUCCCGAGGCCCUCCGCUUUCACGCCCCUCCCUCCAAGGCUGCAGGUCGGGCGACGGAGCUGUCAGUCAGGAGUCCCCUGGAGCAACCCCCACUCCAGUACAGGCCUCUGGAGCCUUACAGCUCCCUUCCUAUCGACUCUCCCAUCUCCUCUGUCCCCACCCCGCACCUUCCUUCUCCUCCUCCUCCCAGCUUCUCUGAGCAGCCACUGCUCCUGCCCACCUGCCUCUCCCCUCUCUGCCCACCUCUCCUACACUCCUGAUUCCAGGUUGAGCUCAUGGCUCCUCGUACACCUGCUCUGGGACGGGCAGGAGCUCCUCCUCACUGGCCGGAGCUGUCUGUCCGCUCUGUGGGCAGUGCCUGCAAUUAGAGCUUUCAGAAUGCACAGCUGCUGCGCAGUGGCCGGUUCCGCGACAACACCUGGCCUGCUUCUGUGGCCCUCCCAGUGCUGCUGGCCCAAGCAAGCUGGAUGCAGGGACCCCCUGCACUUCCACGGCCCCCUCAAGGUGGGCUCUUAAGAGAUAAUGCAAGUGCAGAGAGGUUAAGCAGCUUGCUGAAGCUCACACAGCA